GACGAACGCUGGCGGCGUGCUUAACACAUGCAAGUCGAACGAAGUUGCUCUUUGUGAAGCCCUCGGGUGGAACUGUGAGUAUACUUAGUGGCGGACGGGUGAGUAACGCGUGAGCAAUCUGCCCUGCAAUGGGGGACAACAGUUGGAAACGACUGCUAAUACCGCAUAAGACCACAGUAUCGCAUGAUACAGGGGUAAAAGGAUUCAUUCGAUGCAGGAUGAGCUCGCGUCCCAUUAGAUAGUUGGUGAGGUAACGGCCCACCAAGUCAACGAUGGGUAGCCGACCUGAGAGGGUGAUCGGCCACAUUGGAACUGAGAGACGGUCCAA
rnacentral:rRNA from 1 species